rnacentral:lncRNA from 1 species
AAUUAUACUUUAGUGACAAACAAUAGAUAAAGAAUAAUCUCACCUAAUAAAUUUAUUUUCUUUCACCUUCUUAAUUAAUUAGCAACCAACAAAUAUCUCAAAGCAUGUAAAUUAUUUACAAUCUAAUGUUAACUUGAGGAAACAUAUCCACAAUCUAAUAUCAAAGCAUGCAAAUCAUUUUUUUUUUAUUUGAUUAGUACCUAUCACCACAGCCCACAAGGAAAUUAUCAGAUCGACCAGCAAUAAACAUGGAAAUGAUCAGGGAGCAAUACCAAAAGCAAUACCUGAACCAGCAAUAGGGACAGCAAUGAGGACGACGGUGAUGACGGUGGCGGUGGCA